GUCUGAAGAAGAAUGAGAGAAGGAGUUCCUUCCACCCAGGGAACAGCAUUGUACAGCAAAUGAAAAACACCACGACGAGGCAGAGAGAGACCACAGAAGAAAGGUAAACGUCUUAUAUUUUAGUACCUUUAAUGACACUUUUUCCUGCUUUUUUGAACAAGGGGUCCCAUGUUUUCAUCUUGUCCUGGGCCUUGUAAACUGAGCAGCAGGCCAUGCCCACAGGCUGACUGCUUGAUGCUGCUGCUCAGGAGCCUGUCAUUCAGCCUCGCUUCUCUUACAGCUGGGAGAGUUUCAAGAGAGGGAUUGGGGAGGCAGAAGGAGAGCUGCUGAGGUGUUUUCAGCUGGGGUCUGACUUCCCAGGGGCACUUAGUUCUCCCAGAGUCCUUUGAGGGCCCUGAGCAACCUGUGAGAGAUACGGUCACUGACUGAGAGGAUAGCAUGGUGUGCGCCCAUCCCUAGCCAUGUGUCCAUGGUCUACGCGACACCCCCCCCCAGCCCCCCCACAUCCAGUGUUUGCUGUAUGUCAGGCCUGAAAGGCAAUUUCAGCCAGAAGAAAGAUGAAACUGAAGACCCACGUCAUGCCGGUGGGCAUUGCCAGGCCCGACUCAGGACUGAGGACCAGCCUGGUGCUUUGUUUUGAGUGGUAGGAGUAGAGCAGGGUUGUCAUUUCUCUUCCUGGGAUCAAAAUCAGACAAACAUCCUAUUUGGCUUACCAGGCAAUAAGUGGAUAACACCAGUGAAUGUCAGUGCAAAUUACAGCUCUAGCCUCCUGUCGUCAGCUUUGUGCUGCUUCUUGUCACUUUAAUGCAAAGAGACAGUGUGGAACUGAUAACAAGCCAGAAGGAUGGGGGAUCGGAGCGGGUGGCUGUGUCAGGGACAGGAAAAAUGCACGUUGGAGAGACUGAUUCAAGACAGUAAAAACCCACAGCAAUGAUUUCCUUGAUCGCCUGUUGGAAAAGGGGCAUGUAAGCAUGUCGGAUGCCUGGGCAAUGUUUCUCAGAUGUCCACACAACUGAGCAGCUACCUCACCCACUCCUUCACCCACACUUCCACCACCCAUCUACCCAUUUACCCAUCCAUCCAAUCAUCCAUCCUCCUCUGUUAGUGAGCGCUGGACUGUUCCUCUUAUCACACCGGAAUUCUGAGGGACUGAUGGGGCCUCCAUCUCCUGCUCACAGCCACUUUCCCAGGUUUGCUUCUAAGAAGUUUGGAGAACUCUUGAGAGGAAACACUUCUCUUCUUAGCAAAAAAACAAGCGCUUUAGGGCCUUUUAAUUUUGUCUAAAACAGCCUGGUGACGGCUCAAAAGCUCCAGUUCUAUUCCAUUAAAUUGCAUUUUCUAAGCCAGUGGGUGAAUGCUACUGUCUCAGAGACCCCUCCGCUGAGAGCUAAGAUCUCCCUCCUAGGCGGCUGAAGAAAGAGGAAGUCUUGCACUUUGCAUGCCGGGAUUUGAGUGUGUCCAUCUGUCGUGAAGCCUGCAAGGGUCGGCUCACAUUAACAUGCAGCGUCACUGUAUCUCCACCCACACUACACAUUUGAGGAACGGAUGCAGUCAACAGGAGAAUCCAGGCCUUCCCAUGGCUGUGCUGGCAAGUUAGUACCUGAGGAAUUAGAAAAGGGACCAAGAAGGGACCUGCGGGGGACACACAUCUUGUAUGUCUUCUCAGGUUGCUCAAUGACUUUGUUUUCUCCCCUGCUGGUGCCCCACUCGCUCUGGGAUGCCCUCCACUGAACCUCACCAUGGGCUGUGGGAUCUGACUUCCUGAGCAGCCAUCAGGGGUUGGAUAAACCAGAGGCGCUAAUUCCCCAGGGGAUGCAUAUGGACCUAGGAGAUAGAAGGUGGGAGCAGGGCGGAUAAAUUCCUCCACCUCCCUUUCUCCUGUGAAGGGCACUGGAUCAUGAUUCCUCCUUGCAGCCUUUCCAGAGAAGCCCCAUGCUCAGCGAACCUGCUGUUCCCUCUCUGCUCUCCUUGAGCAGAGGCCGUCAGUGUGUUCCAUUGCAUGACUUCUCUUGUCUCACUUUCUUUUUUUCCCUCAUCUCCAUUGCUCUUGCCUCUCAACUUUUAACUAAAUUAUUAGAAUGUUAAUCCUUUCUUGGGUUCUACUUUCUGGAAGAACUGGACCAAGACAGCAAAUAAUAUUUAUUUAACACCUGCUAUGUGCCCACAGGUGCUAUUAGUACAUUCAAAAUGGAUUAUGGGACUUGGAAAACUCAUUCAGAAGAGCAGGAAAUGUGUCCAGAGGCCACCCAAAUGGGGUGGCAUCAGGUGUCCUGGGGCCAAGGAAAGAGGGGUUUCUAUAUUCCUUGAGACCUUGGUCUAAAUUCCAGGCCCCCAACUUGGUUCCCAAAUUAGGAAAGAUUUCCGUUUGGGAGAUUUAGCUUAUGCAGUGGUUAGAGUAUUCUUCACACCAGAAGGAAUUAAAGAGGGAAGGAGGGACGGCUCUCAGCACCAGUAUACUAGUUAUCUACCGCUGCAUAACAAGUUACUCCAAAACUUAGUGAUUUAAAACAUCAGUGAACAAUUAUCAUCUCUCACAGUUCCAGCGGGUCAGGAAUUCAGGAGCAGCCUGGCUGGCUGGAUGGGGCUCAGGUCUCUCAUGAAGUUAAGGUCAGAUGUUGGCUGGGGCUGCAGUCAACUGAAGGUCUGACUGGAGCUGGAGGAUCUGAUUCCAAGAUGGCGCACUCACAUGGCUGUUGGCAGGAGGCCUUAGUUUCUCUUCAUGAGGACCUCUCCCCAGGGAUACUUGAGUAUUCUCAUGACGUGGCUGCUGGGGUCCCCCGGAGCAAGCAAUCCAAAAGGCCACAGCAGAAGCCACAAUGCCCUUUAUGACAGUUUCAUAAAUCACACACUGUUCUCCCCAUCUUAUGCUAUUGGUCACACAGAAAGCCCUGAUUCAGUUCAGGGAGAGUAUAUACAAGGGCAUGGAUUCUAGGAGGUGAGGGUUCCGGGAGGAGGAGGAGCAUUUUUGGAGCCUAGACCACAGUAGCAUCCUGGAACAUCAGAGCUGGGAGAGUUCUUAGAGAUCAUCCGUUUCAACAUCCUCAUUUAAUAGCUGAGAAACCUAAAGAUCAGAGACAUUAUGCAACCUGCUCCAGGUCACUCAGUGAAUUGUGUGUUCACGUUUAACUCGGGACUCAACAGUGCCUGCAGGCAGCGCGUUUUAUGAGGCUAUGUGAGAACUGUAGCCUAUGGUCAAACAGCGUCACUAUGCUGAUGAAGGAAGUCAGAGAUGAUGCUUUAAACAAGAGCUGCCUAACGAAUCCAGGGCAGAGCCUAUUACAGGAGUUCAUUCAUUCUUUCAAAAUAUAUUUGCGUCCGUACCUUAUACCUGGCACUGGUCUGGGCAAUGGCACACAGGCAAGCAAAAACGUGCUCCUGCUCUCGUGGACCUUAUAGUGUAGACAGACAUGCACUGUGUAGUCCUACCAAUAAUGGCAAUAUCAUAACUAUGGCAAGUGCUCUGAAGAGGAGGUUGAAGCUCUGUGAAAGCACAACAGAAUAUUGACUCUGCUGCAUCCAACGAGGCUUCCCCAAGGAAGUGAUGAUUCACUUAUCAUUUGACAACCUGAGAGUGAGUCCCACUAUCAACCAGAUAAUGAUCGUUGCUCAUGAUUUAUUUGUUUUUCAGAUAUUGGAUUUUCCACCUCCAGAAGUUCCAUUUUGAUUUUAUUUUAUAUCUGCUAUUUCUCUCAUAAUUGAGUUCAUGUUUUCCUUUAACAUUCUUCAAUCUAUUGAUAAGCUUUAUAAUAGUUAUUUUAAUAUCCUUGCCUGCUAGUUCCAUCAUCUCUCCCUUUUUUGGGUCUACUUCUAUUUUUUUCUCCUGGUUACAAGUUAUAUUCUCCUGCUGCUUUGCGUGUCUGGUAAUUUUCUAUUGGAUGUCAGACAAUGAAGUUUUUACAGUAUUUGUAUUGGAUUUUGUUUUAUUCCUUGAAAGAGUGAUGGACUUUGCUCUGCCACAUGGUUACCUGGGAACAGUGUGAUCUUUUCAGGGUUUGCUUUCAAGCUUUGUUAUGCUCGGUCCAGAGCAGCCUUGAGUCUGGGACUAAUUUAGCCCCGUUAUUGAGGCAAGAGCCUUCUUGGGAUGCUACCCACGUAUUGCAAGGUCUCCACUUCCACUGGUGAGAAUAUCAACUAUUUCUAGUAAGCACUCCAGGAAUUGCUCUAUCUGCUCCUUUUAGGUGGUUCUUUUCUCUGCCUCAAGGAAUUUCUUCACAAGUAGUGAGUAAUCAGAGAUUAAAGACUUGCGGUUUUUACCUGACAAUCUCUGGAAUUUUCUCUGUGUGUAGAACUCCCUCCUCUCUGGUACUCAGCCCUGAAAAUUUGAGCUGCUGUGGGCUCCCACACUCUAACCUCUGUCUCCUCAACUCUGUGAGACCACCAGGCUUCCUUUGGGCUCUCUCUAGGCAGGGAGCUGAUACCAUGGUAGGACUCACUCUUUGUUUCCCUUCUCUCAGAGCUCACGAUCCUGCCUUGACUGUUGUCCAGUGUUGAAAAUGGUUGUUUCACAUAUUUUUCCUAGUAUUUUAGUGUUUAAGGCAGGGGUGUAUAUCUAGUCCCUGUUACUGCAUCAUGGCAUAUUUUUUCUUUAAUUUUUUAAACAGCUUGAUUGAAGCAUAGUUGAUAUAGUAAACUACACAUAUUAAAGUGUACAAUGGACAAGGCUUGACGUUUGUAUAUGCACAUGAAACCAUCACCACAUUCAAGACAGUGAGCAUAUCCAUCACCUCCAAAAGUUUCUUCAUACCCUUUUGGGAUCCCUCCUUCUGGCUCCCUGGACCCUUCCUGGGAGAAAGGCAACCGCUGAUUUAUUUUCAGUCACCACAGACUUGUCAGCAUUUUCUAAAGUUUUAUAUAAAUUCCCUUUUGUCUGGCUUCUUUCACUAGGCAUAAUUAUUUUGAUUCAUCCAUGUUGUUAUUCAUAUCACUAGUUUCUCCUUUUACAUUCCUGAGUAGUAUUCCACUGUAUUGGAUAUACCACAAUUUGUUUAGUUAUUUUGUUUAUACCAUACUUAUUAAUUAUUGAUGGACAUUUGGAUUGCUUCCACUUUUUAGCUAUGACAAAUAAAGCUGCUGUGAACAUUCAUGGAAAGUCUUUGUGGGGACAUGUUUUGUUUUUUUAUAAAUACCUAGGAAUGGAACAGCUGGAAUAUAUGGUAGGUAUAUGUGUAACUUUUUAAGACCCUGCAAAACUGUUUUGCAACGGCAUUUGUUUUAAAGCCAGUUUUUGUUUGUAGAUCCAUGUGAUGGGGUGGUAAACCGGUGAGAUGUUUGGAUAUGAAUGUUCAACUUCUUUUUUUCUGAAGCAAUAGGUGUGCUCUGGCAACUGUCACGUUGAUUCCUGUCAGCCCCCGCCAGCCUGGGAAGUAGACUUUCACCACAAGAUGGAAAAGUAAGAGGGGAGAUUAUGAGGGGCUCCCAGCCUGCCUGACAGCAGUAGGAGAAGAGUCGGAACUCUUGGACUUUUUGCUUU
rnacentral:lncRNA from 1 species